rnacentral:rRNA from 1 species
UACGAGGGGGGCAAGCGUUAUUCAAUUUAACUGGGCGUAAAGCGUCUGUAGGCGGCAAGUUUCGUUAUUCGGUAAACAUGAAAGUUGGACUUUCAGAGACGGGUAAAACGUACUUUGCUAGAGUCAUAGAGAGGAUCGUAGAAUUUCUGAAGUAGGGAUGGAAUCCUGUCACAUCAGAAGGAAUACCAAAGGCGAAGGCAA